rnacentral:rRNA from 1 species
UACGUAGGGUGCAAGCGUUAAUCGGAAUUACUGGGCGUAAAGCGUGCGCAGGCGGUCGUGCAAGACAGAUGUGAAAUCCCCGGGCUCAACCUGGGAACUGCAUUUGUGACUGCACGGCUGGAGUGCGGCAGGGGGGGAUGGAAUUCCGCGUGUAGCAGUGAAAUGCGUAGAUAUGCGGAGGAACACCGAUGGCGAAGGCAAUCCCCUGGGCCUGCACUGACGCUCAUGCACGAAAGCGUAGGGAGCAAACAGG